AACUGAUUAUAUUUCAUCAGUUAACUGAUAAAAUAUCAUCAAAUACUUGAUCAGUAAUCAGUUUAUUGAAACAAGUUUGUCAACUUUUUUUUUUCAAGGGAAUGUUAUUGUCGAAUAUUCGGUAAUCAGAUGUUACAUCUGUACAAGAGACGCAAAAAUUAUUUUGACGUUCCUUGCAUAAGAAAUUAAAGUGGAAGAGGCACGAGAUUUCACGUAGAUGCAUCUCGUCGACGAUUGUUGUGUGCGGACAAUAGUCAUUUAUUUGCUCGAGAUAUUACGUGGCACCACCCUCGAGAUUUUCCCAUAAGCGUUCGCACGCACGCGGUCACCGAGAGUUACCGGGAUAAGACGGAUAGUCGCGCUGAAUGGUAUCUCAUUAGCCGACUUCUCACGUGCUUCCGCAAUGGCGUCAGAUGCUCCGCGUGUUGCACCGAUCGGGCGCAGCCCGCGUUGUUGCGACGUGUGUCGCUUGAUAGUAUCAAGUUGAUAUAUUACGCGAGUAUUAUUCCUUCGCGGCAGAAGCGAUUUUAUUAAAUUUUCCGGCAAUCUGUCAAGCGAGCGACGCCGGUUCGCGACCCCCGACAGCCAGCGAUAUCCCCCGUUCCUCCUGGGAGGCUGGCAACCUCGGACGCUACUAUCAGUGCCGCGAGAAGUUACGUGGAAGAGGAGGAGAGACUGCAAGGAAGACACGUGGAUGCCCAAUAAAUAUCUUUGGAUCGCGCAUUAGAUAUCCGAAUGCCUUACGAUAUUCAGAUUUAUGGAUAUUUGUUAUUGCUACCGUACUUCAAGUUCCCGAACUCCCGUAACGGGGAGUUUGCCGCGAAACUAAAAUCGUGCACCCGGACGGGAGUUUUAUCGCGAGAUAGAUCAAUAGACGCGCACGAUAGCGCGUGCAUCGAUCGUUCGCGCUUGGCCGAUCACGAGCGCAAUUGAGAGCGGAAAUACGAUCGCACGAUAAAAUUCGCUCGUGAAGCCGAAAUAAAUCCACGGCACGUGGGGGGCAGCGCGCGACGCUCGUAUCAAGCAUGGUGUGACUUAAACACGAUACCCGAUUCAUUGUAAAGUGUUUUUUCCGGCCGCAAUUUAGCGGACACUCCAGGCUAAUAAUUAGGCAUUCAAGAUGAUUCUAACGUCUGGAAGAAGGCAUUGCAUAAAUCCGCGAUCCGCGAGCUCGACGUUUCGUCCUUCCGUUCCCCGAUAUGGCAUCGGUUUACAUGCGCGAUUUGUUCACUCUCUCUUUUUCUCGCUUAGUCUUCUCUUUGCUCGAGGAUGACGGAAUACUGGAAAGAGCGGAGCUAUCCGUAUAACGAGCAAUCGCGAAAAGUGGGUUAUCGUAAUCGUGAGAAGAAAAUGAGAGACGUAUAUGAAAUCGAGCGAUAUUUUCCCUCGACUCUUAGCAUAAUUCUUAAAAGCGGGAUGCAUGAUUCAAUAGACCGACACGGUCUUUAACGCAAUUGCGAGCAAACAAUCAGGCAGCGCAUUAUCGUCAUUUUAUGUCGUUGCACUCGAUUGCGACAGAACGCGACAGAGUUCUCCUUUUAAGAGAAUUCCACGUGAAUUUUUCAUUUCCGUUUCUAUUAAGCUGACACUGCCAUUUUAACAUAAUCAAAUACGAUUUAUAUAAAAGUCAAUUUUUUUCCUACUCAUUAAUUGUCCGAUUUCAAAUUUUUAUUGCAAUCGAUUCACUAGAAAUGAUUGUACUUAAGAUUAAAGUUGAAACCAAAGCUCAGCUUUAAAGAAAAAAAAUUUAAGGAUUAAAAAAAAUUAAUACAAUUAAUUAGCAAAGAAUUUUAAUGUAAUUUUUGAGCAAUCAGUUUUUAUAUAAAUUCAAUUCGAGUGUGCUGAAAUGUCUAUGCCAGCUUAAUAAAGACGUGGGAAUGUAGAAUUCACAUGUAGCCGCUUAGAAAAAGAACUGACUGAAUAUACUCAGUGUACUAAUGCUGCAGAAUAAAUCGCUAUCUCUGGCAUCACAAUUAAACUUCUUGCACGCGCUUCCGUCUCGAUAUAUUUUCCUUGCAUACAUUAUACAAGACAUAAAAUCUUAAAUUAUGUUAUCGUCUUUCGCAAAUAGCUAAUUACACUCUUAUAAAAACUACAAUAAAUUUAAUGUAAUGGAAUUAAAUGUCAAAUAAGUAAAUUAAAAACAUGAAAAAACAUUGUUAUACUGUUGUAAGUUAUAGUGUUACAUAAAUGCCAUAUACACUAAGAAAAAUGUUUUAUUGUUGUUACAACAAAGGAUUUAACUAAAAUGUAUUGAACAAAUUUAUUAUUUAGUUAAAAAUAUAAAAUAUUAUCUAGUGCAGAAAAAAUUCUUUUAUUUACAUGCAUUUCGCAGAAGCAACUAUUUUUUUUUCAUCACAUAAAACAAAGUGAUUGUUAUUUAAAAAUGCCGCAACUAAAUCCGCGGCACGUUCGACGGUCGUAAAUAGCUUUUGCACUACGUUCUUUUAUUUUGUUUUAUAUAACAAAAAAGUGUAGUUGCUUCUGCAAAAUGCAUGUAAAUGAAAAGAUAUUUAUUUAUAUUAACUAGUUUUGCUCGGUACGUUUUAAUCAAAUUAUUAAUUGUUACGAUAAAACGAAAUUUUGUCCUGGUGCAUACUCGUCGCACAUACAUAUUUACGUAUUUUUGCGCAGCUACUAUUUAACUCGUAAGUGUGCGUGACUUUUUUUGAUAUAAGUGCCCAGCUUACAAUAAUUUUUGCGUGUUUUACGCGCGUUGCGUACAUUGUAAUAAUGCGAAUAUUGUAAAAGAUUUGCAUUAGUUUUAUUCGUAGAACAUGUUUUGUCGUGCAUAUUGCGCGUACAAGUAGCUAUUCAGAAAUGUUUUUGCUCGUAAAUGUAUCCAGCAAAUCAUACGCAAAAGCAGUUUAUACUAAGUAAGCAGAACUUUGUCCCAGUGCGUCAUAUAGAUAGUGACCAGCAGAAAUAUUUUCUGGGAGUUUACAUUUUUAUUUACAAGUAGUUAUAAACUGACACAUGUUUUAAACGUAAAAUAAUCAUUUUCAAACAUAAGAAAUUAAAAGAAAUCCUUUAAAAAUGUUUUAAAAUAUCUUUAAUAUUUAGAAAUAUCUUUAAAAAUGUUUUGUUACGCAAUUUAAUUAGUAAAUGUCUAUAAUUUGCUACUAGGUCAGUUUUACACCCACACGAGUACUCACGGAUUAAAGUGUGUCAAGUUUUUUCGCGUCUGUUAGAAAAUUGUUACGCUCAACGGGCCGAUCUUCGUCCUCUUCUCGAGAGAAAAUGUAAUAACAAGCACUAAACAGGAAAACCAGGAUAGAACAUGAGGUAUUAAUUUAUGUAAAUUACGGUCAAGACCCACUAUUAUGCGCUGCAAAUAAAAAAAGGGAUUUAGAUUUAAUAGAUAAAACACAGGAGUGACAUAAUGCGAUUCCAUCGCUCGUUAAAAAGUUAUGCAUCUUGAGUAUCAUUUUGCGACCCUAUUGAUCAUUAAUUGAGAUGCAUAUGCCUCCGCUCAGAUGUGCGCGCGUAUUGGCUGACUCACAAUCUUGCGCUUUACGCGAUACAGAUUGUAAUCUACGCGCGAUCAUUAAGCGAAAUAUUAGAAAUUAGCGAUAAACGCGCCCGAUGAACGUAUCCUUUGUGCACACUCUCCCGGUAAUUAUGUUAAAACACUUCUCAAUGAUACACAAUUACAUAAACGAGCGUCGUACAUUGCAUGAAAAUAUUAUCGGAUAGAGUUUCCGGUUCUGGAAAUAAGUGAUACGCGCAGUGACAUGUAGAAUCAUUGAAAAUCCCGAAGUAAUUCGCAACCGUCGUAUCUAAGGAGACAUCGUGUGCGAAACAAGAUGGCAGAUUGAAGAAAUUUAUCUGAAUGCAUUUGCAAUAAGAGCGGGGCGCACGAACGAAAUGUGACUGCCAAAAUCUUGUUUGAAAUAGACAAUAUUGUUCCAGCGUAAAUCCUGUUCGCAAAAGUACGCGCGUGUCUGUGAAUAUUGCAUUUCUUCCUUCUGACAACUCUCAUUCUACAACUCACGUAUUAUACGCUUGAAUCCAGGAGUCUUAUGCAACUGUUAAUUACAAGAAUUUCGAAAUGCAAAGCACCUUCAUUCGCGUAUGUGCGCAACAGAUAACCGAAUCACGUGGCCGAGAAGACAGAUGAAAAGGAGCAAUGCUCUGAUAGAAGCGAGGAAAAUUAUAAUCAGUGACGCGCGGAGUUAUCAAUACUUCCAGGAAACUGCGUGUCCGGUGGGCGAUUAACUGUCAUAAAUGAAUUGCUAUCCAGGAUUGUCGCGGUCGUUAUAAUUAAUAUUAAUAAGCUUUAUUUAUCCUGACAUCGAUGUUUGUUGUUUUCCGACUGCAAUCUUAUAACGCAGUUCCAUUACAUAAUUGCAUAAUUCUGGAAGUAAUCUUCAUCUGAUAAUCUAAAAAUUAUCCAAGAGAGAGAGAGAGAAGCUUAACGAGCAUAUUUCAACGACUGGUUAAAUGUAUUUUUAGAUUUAUUAUUUAUUAUAAAUAUAAUAGUUAUAAAUAAACAAUAAUAAUGGC